rnacentral:lncRNA from 1 species
GCAAUGGUAGAAAUGAUAAGGGAUCCAAGAACAAUGAAAAAAGCACAAGCUGAGGUGAGAGAGCUUUUCAAAAUGAAAGGAAGGGUUGAUGAAAAUUACCUCAAAGAGCUCAGUUAUUUGAAAUCAGUUGUCAAAGAAACUCUGNNNNNNNNNNNNNNNNNNNNNNNNNNNNNNNNUUACACCCUCCACUACCUCUUUUGCUACCAAGGGAAUGUGGCCAAACAUGUGAGGUAAAUGGUUAUCACAUACCGAUUAAGACUAAGGUGAUAGUCAAUGCUUGGGCAAUUGCACGAGAUCCAACCUACUGGACUGAACCAGAAAGGUUUUAUCCAGAGAGAUUCAUUGACAACACUUUUGAAUAUAAAGGGAGUCAUUUUGAGUACACUCCUUUUGGUGCUGGAAGAAGAAUAUGCCCGGGGAGCACAUUUGGUUUGAGAAAUAUUGAUCUGGUUCUUGCGAUGUUAUUGUAUCAUUUUGACUGGAAGCUUCCAAGUGGAAUCAGAAGUGAAGAAUUGGACAUGACUGAGGAAUUUGGAGUCGCAGUGAGAAGAAAAGAUAAUCUUUUAUUGCUUCCUUCUGUUUAUCAUGCUUUGAAUGUUACAUGAGCUUCACAAGAAGAAAAUGAAACCUUUGGCAGUGUACUAGUAUGUUCCGGUAAAAAUAUGUAGGUUAUGCCUGUGUUUAAGAAUUAAAAUAAAUGAAGAUUUUGCAAUUUAACCAUGUUUUCUAGAUUGUAUUUAGUCUGUACAGUUUCCAUUCAUUCUUAAUUAAAUCUGUCAUUAGUAAAAUUCAAAUUUGUGGUUAAAUACAUUUUGACUUUUGCUUAUAUUUAAGACCGGAGGGAGUAUACCUUAAGCCAAAUAUUAAUUGAAUGAGAUUUACCUUUCCCUUUCUUUCAAUAAAGACUAAAUACUAACCCUUGUUCCGUUCCACCCUCAAGUACGUUACAUGAAGUUCCGAGAUAGUGUCCGCUUUGGGCCGCGUGUGAGCCCUCACGGUUUUGUUCCUUGUAAAAGGCGCCUCGGUGGGUUAUGGUGUGUGGGUGUUGUAUAUAAACUACCCUUAGUCUCGAUUCCCAAACUAAUUAGGUGUAUCGGAACAGAACUAAAUGACAUGUUUCCUUCGGUCUUUAAGUUGCUUCUCAAGAAAUAUGCCUAAGCCAUGUGUGUUGAUAGUGAAAAUCAACAUAGUAAAAGCUUGUUUCUGUAAACCAAACCAAGUUUAUGUUUUCCUUUAUCAAACUUGAUGAACUUACGUUAUGAAAAACACAUCGCAACCAACAUAGUAAAAGUUACGAAAAAUGAGUAACUUUUAAUCAACCUCAGACAAAAAUACACAAUAGGCAUAAUGAUAAUUCAAAUCAAAUUAGUAGCAUUUCAUAUACCCUUUUAUAAAAUACUACCGCCUCCGUCCCAAAAUAAAUGACCUAUUUUUGACUUUGUGUACUAUUCAUAUGAUCUCAUUUGACUGUAUUUUUUUUAUCAAGAUAUUAAUAAUUAAAGUUGUGCAUUGACAAACGUGAAGAUGAUCAAUUAGGUCAUUUAUUUUGGGUCAGAGAGAGUAUUCUUUAGACCAGAUGAAUCUAACAAUCUAACAUAUAAAAAGUAAACUUUUGGUUAUAAUUAAGGCAAGAUGGAGUAACUAACAAUCUAACAUAUAGAUGAUCAUUCAUAAUUACAAUGAACACAAAAACAGAAGAAGUACUUACAAAAACAUAUGAUCAUUCGUGAUUCGAUCCACUGCUGCAUUUCAGCGAACACCUCAAAAGCAGCUUUGUAAAUUGUUUAAUUUUAACUUUCUAAGUUCACAAUUAUUCGAUUUUAGACCCCAAGUUUCAAUUGGUUAUUCCCUUUUGCAUUUGUUAACCUCCUGUUGACAUUCGCGACUAAAAAUCUUAUGUAACAUUUUAAAAUAAAUAAAAAAUGAUUUUAAAAUUUAAAACAUGUUAUAAUUUUUUUAAAAUGUUUACAAAUAUAAAUAUUUGUUUUAAAAAAUGAAUUUUUUUAUAAAAGGUUUAAUAAUUAUUUUUUAAAAAGUUUUAAAAUUUUAAAAAUAGUUCAUAAAAAAAUUUGUAAACUAUUUUUUUAUAAAAAAAUUAUUUUAGAAACUACAUAUAACAAAAAAAAUCAUUUUAUAAGUUAUUUUUUUUAAAAAAAUUGUCAUUUAUUAUUAUUUUUAAUUUUGAAACAUCUUUUUAAUUUAAUUUUUUUCAAAUUUUAAAAUGUCACAUAAGCACUCUUUAGCCCAAAAGGCCAACCAAAGACUAGUAAAUAAUGUAAAAGGAGGUAAACUUGAGGAACCAAAAUCGAGCAAUUAAAACAUGGAGAAUUUUUUUUUUUUUUGAUAAUAAAAAAUUUAUUAUAAGGGAGUACAAAGGGGUCAAACCCUUACAACAAAGAGCACUAAACUAAGUACUCAAAAUACAAGACAUAUGAUUUAAACACCAAAAAGGAAAAGGAGUACAAGUCCUACACCCAUACCGACUAGUGAACCACAACCAAGAAUGAAGUUUGAUUGUCUCAAAUAUAACGACGAAACAUUUGGAAUAUUGCCCUUAAAAAUUACUUUAUUGCGAAGAUUCCAAAUAUUCCAAGUGGUUGCCAACCAUACCAAGUACCGGACACGACCUUUGUCUUUCAUUUUGAACAAAUCACCAAAUAAAAGAAAAUUAUCUCUACCUUCGACUUCGGUUUGUAACGAUAUCCCUAACCAAGAUAAAACUCUGUUCCAUACUCUCUUACUAAAAGGACAUGAAAAGAAAAGAUGUUUUUCGUCCUCAACUUGUUGUAAACAAAAGAUGCAUGAUAAUUCAUGAUGAUUAGUCAAAAUACCACGAUGAUGAAGAGCUGCUCUAGUUGGUAAUCUGUUUAAUAAUAACCUCCAACCGAAAACAUUUACUUUUGAAGGAACAUCCGACUUCCAAAGGCGCUGAAUGGCCUCGAGCACAUGAGCAUCUUGAAGCUCUACCUGCCGCAGGUCUAAUAAAUACGUAUAACAGGAUUUAACCGUAAACAAUCCAUUCGAAUCCGGAAUCCAGCGCCACUGAUCGUGAUUAUUGUUGUGAAGGGAAAAACCAUCGAACAAACCGUGUAAUUCAGUAAGCUGCUGAGCUUCAAAUGGAACAAACCUUUUAAAACUUGGAGAAUUAAAAUGGAGCAAUUGUAAAAUUUAGGGGGUUAAAUCAAGAAAUUAAAACUUGGGGCCCAAUUGCACAAUUGCAAAAUUUGGGGGUCAAAAUUGCAUUUAAACCAAAAUUAUUUAAUCCAUAUACAUGCUUUUGGUUUUGUAAGGAUAAUGGUAUCUGAGUAGCUUUGCACAAAAAAUUGGCUGCUGUGACGCGCUUCACACAGAGAUGUGGGGCAUGUACAUUGUAAUGAAUUUAGCUCAAAGAAAAGGGAUAACUCAUUUUCAAGUGAAGAGUAGUGGUUCAAAGGUGUUAGUUGACACGAUCAUUUUCAAGUGGAGAGUAUAAUGACUAUAAUAAUAUUAUUUUAUCAAAAUUUAGUAUGAAAAGACAAUUAUCUCCCUUAAUUUAAUUAUGUGUCAAAAAUUGGAAAAGAUGGAAAUGGGGUAGAUAAGUAAAAUCUCAUAUUAUUUUAUCAAAAUUUAGUAUGAAAAGACAAUUAUUCCCUAUUAUGUGUAAAAAAAUGGAAAAGAUGAAAAUGGGGUAGAUAAGUAAAAUCUCAAGUAUCUUCUAUUAUAGCAUGCAUGUGCCUAUAGUAAUGUUCUAAAAUCCUAAAAAUAUUUAUCAAUAAACAGGAGAUUUCUUUCUUUCUUUCUUUUUUUAUUUUUAUUUUUUUUUUUCAAAAAUAGGAGAUUUCUAUAAUGUACUAAAUAUGACCGCGGAAAAAAAUUCAAAAUUUUGAAUCAUACAUAAGACUUGCUAAAAAAUAGAGACUAGAAACUAAAGUUGCGACCAAAAAUAUUUGAAGGACCGAAACAUGUUGAAAUUUUUUAUAAGGACUAAUAAAUAAAUUUGAAAUAUUUAUAGGUACACUGGUUAAUACUAAUUAACCUAUAGAAAAUUAGAAAAGCAUAUUUAUCUUUUUGCCAUUAAUUAACAAAUGAAAGGGUGAUUGUAAUAAUUAAAAAUGAUCAUUUGAGAAAAAUAUUGUUGUGAAUAGACAAAGAACAUCUUGCCAUUAAUUAACAAAUGAAAGGGUGAUGGUAAUUAAAAAUGAUCAUUUGAGAAAAAUAUUGUUGUGAAUAGACAAAGAACAUCUUGCCAUUAAUUAACAAAUGAAAGGGUGAUGGUAAUUAAAAAUGAUCAUUUGAGAAAAUAUUGUUGUGAAUAGAGAAAGAACAUCUUAUUUUAAUGAUGUGUAAAAUUUUGAAGAAGGAUAAUCAAGGAACAAAAAAUUAAGGAUAAUUAAGCCAAUCCAAGUGGGUUAGAUUACAUUUGAUUAGUGUAGGGACUAAGUGUGUUUUAAAAAAAAAAGUGUAGGGACCAAGUGUUGAUGGAAUAUAAACCGAAAGUGGUAGCACAUAAAUCUUAACACUACUUUCUUUUCUUUUUUUUUCCAUGGCUUUACUAGUUUUCUACUUGCCAUUACUUUUCUCCUUUGUUCUCUUAGCCCUUGUUGUACAAAAAUUAAGAAAGAAGAUCAAGAAAACUGACUCAACUUUUAACCUCCCUAAAGGGCCUAGAAAGCUACCUAUUAUAGGAAAUAUACACAAUCUGUUAAGCUCUCAACCCCAUCGAAAAUUAAGAGACUUGGCCAAAAAAUAUGGACAUGUAAUGCAUCUUCAACUUGGAGAGAUUUCUACUAUUGUCAUAUCAUCACCUGAGUGUGCUAGGGAGGUGAUGAAAACCCAUGAUAUUCACUUUGCAACAAGGCCUCAAAUCCUAGCUACAGAAAUAAUGUCUUACAAUACCACAAAUAUCGCUUUCGCUCCUUAUGGUAAUUAUUGGAGACAGUUACGAAAAAUCUGCACAUUGGAGCUUUUAAGCCAAAAAAGGGUAAACUCGUACCAACCAAUUAGAGAAGAGGUGCUCUCCGAUCUUGUCAAAUGGAUUGCUUCAGAGAAUGGAAUGCCAAUAAACCUCACUGAAGCUGUACUUUCUACAAUAUACACAAUUGUUUCAAGGGCCGCCAUUGGGAAUAAAUGCAAAGACCAAGAAAAGUUUAUAUCAGUGGUAAAACAAUCAUUAAAGGUUGCAGCAGGUUUUGACUUGGGAGAUUUGUAUCCUUCUGCUAAAUGGCUACAGCGUGUUACUGGUUUGAGGCCUAAGCUUGAGAGCUUUCAUCGACAAAUUGAUCAGAUAUUAGAAAACAUCAUCAAUGAGCAUAAAGAGGCAAAGGACACAAAAGCAAAAGCUGAUCAAGGUGGUGUAGAAGAAGACCUUUUAGACGUUCUCUUAAAAUACGAGGAUGGUAGCAACCAUGACUUUUCAUUAACAAAAAACAAUAUCAAAGCCAUACUCCUGGUAAGCGUAUUAACCUCUUCCAAAUACUUUGAAAAAGAACAAGUUCUCUUAAAAUGAAUAUUUAAAACUCCUCCACGUCUUAUAUGUAUCCAAGCGAUAUCUUUCAAGCUGUGAAUUUUGCCACAUGAUUUGUCUAAUUUGUAGGANNNNNNNNNNNNNNNNNNNNNNNNNNNNNNNNNNNNNNNNNNNNNNNNNNNNNNNNNNUACUUUUCAGGACAUUUUCGGUGCCGGAGGUGAGACAUCAGCAAGCACCAUAGAUUGGGCAAUGGUAGAAAUGAUAAGGGAUCCUAGAACAAUGAACAAAGCACAAGCUGAGGUGAGAGAGCUUUUCAAAAUGAAUGGAAGGGUUGAUGAAAAUUACCUCAACGAGCUCAGUUAUUUGAAAUCAGUUGUCAAAGAAACUCUGAGGUUACACCCUCCAUUACCUCUUUUACUACCAAGAGAAUGUGGUCAAACAUGUG